GNCGACGAUUCCUACGGGAGGCAGCAGCAGGGAAUAUUGUGCAAUGAGCGAAAGCUUGACACAGCGACACCGCGUGUGGGAUGACGGUUCUAGGAUUGUAAACCACUUUCAGGAGGGAAGAAAAUGACGGUACCUCCACAAGAAGACCCGGCCAACUAUGUGCCAGCAGCCGCGGUAAUACAUAGGGGUCAAGCGUUGUCCGGAUUUAUUGGGCGUAAAGAGCUCGUAGGCGGUUCAACAAGUCGGUCGUAAAAGUUUAGGGCUCAACCCUAAAAUGUCGAUCGAUACUGUUGUGACUAGGAUACGGUAGAGGUGAAUGGAAUUCCGAGUGUAGCGGUGAAAUGCGUAGAUAUUCGGAGGAACACCAAUUGCGAAGGCAGUUCACUGGACCGUGAUCGACGCUGAGGAGCGAAAGCUAGGGGAGCAAACAGGAUUAGAUACCCUGGUAGUCCUAGCUGUAAACGAUGGAUACUAGAUGUAGGAACUGGAUUGACGGUUUCUGUAUCGUAGCUAACGCGUUAAGUAUCCCGCCUGGGGAGUACGGUCGCAAGACUAAAACUCAAAUGAAUUGACGG
rnacentral:rRNA from 1 species